CCUACGGGUGGCAGCAGUGAGGAAUAUUGGUCAAUGGACGCAAGCCUGAACCAGCCAAGUAGCGUGAAGGAUGACUGCCCUACGGGUUGUAAACUUCUUUUAUACGGGGAUAAAGUGAGUCACGUGUGCCUUUUUGUAUGUACUUUAUGAAUAAGGAUCGGCUAACUCCGUGCCAGCAGCCGCGGUAAUACGGAGGGUCCGAGCGUUAUCCGGAUUUAUUGGGUUUAAAGGGAGCGUAGAUGGGUUGUUAAGUCCGUUGUGAAAUUUUGCGGCUCAACCGUAAAAUUGCAAUUGAUACUGGCAGUCUUGAGUACAGCUGAGGUAGGCGGAAUUCGUGGUGUAGCGGUGAAAUGCUUAGAUAUCACGAAGAACUCCGAUUGCGAAGGCAGCUUACUAAACUGCCACUGACAUUGAUGCUCGAAAGUGUGGGUAUCAAACAGGAUUAGAUACCCUGGUAGUC
rnacentral:rRNA from 1 species